rnacentral:rRNA from 1 species
UACGUAGGGUCCGAGCGUUGUCCGGAAUUAUUGGGCGUAAAGAGCUCGUAGGCGGUUUGUCGCGUCUGCUGUGAAAUCCCGAGGCUCAACCUCGGGUCUGCAGUGGGUACGGGCAGACUGGAGUGCGGUAGGGGAGAAUGGAAUUCCUGGUGUAGCGGUGGAAUGCGCAGAUAUCAGGAGGAACACCGAUGGCGAAGGCAGUUCUCUGGGCCGUAACUGACGCUGAGGAGCGAAAGCUAGGGGAGCAAACGGG